UUAUUUUCUUUAUCGGUGAGAUGAAACACCAAACCCAGAAAACUCUCAUACUAAUCUUCGAUUUGAAAAUCAAUAACGAAAUAUUGCUUAGAUCAAGCUUUUUCAUUGCUGUUUAUCAAGUUUCUACCGCAGAUUCCGAAUUAAGAAACAUUUUGUCAAAUUCUCUGUUUGAAUAGAUUCAUUGGGCGAUGACUGUGAAGAACCCGAGCUUGUAUGAAUAAUAACAUAAAUGAUGAUGUUGCCAAAAGAAGAUGAUGGACAAAGAUAAGUUGUUCAUACGAUUAUUACUUAACAAACAAUGUUUUUAAAUAAAUGGUGGUGAUGAUAGAAAGUUAUAAUUGUACAGGGAAAGCGUAAUUAUCAAGUUCAAUUCUUUUGAAAGAGUCAAUUCUGAUGUCGUUUUGGAGCCUUGCAAAAAAACUGCAGCAACAAUAAGCUUUAUGUCAGCAAGAUCGGUGAAUGCUUGCUCAGCUGCCAUUUUCUUAGAGAAAUCGUGAAGUGGUAAUGGUAAAACUUUAAAAGAUUCCAACACUCAAACUCAAGAGAUUCAGUAUGGGCCUAAUUAUCUCGUAAGCCCAAUAGGAAGUUUUCUCAUUGGAAUUGGGUCAGCGUUUUUUAAAGAAAGAGGACCCGAGUAGAGGAUCCAAGAUCCGCGUCCCAGCAUAGCCAAUUUUCAAUUUUACCCCUUUUACGAAAUCUUUUAUUUUGUCGUGUAAUAAAAAAAUUGUAAUGGCAUUCCUUUGUAAUUUUUUACACUUUAUAAGGUUUAUUAUUAGGGAAUGCUUCCCAAUUAAUAGUA